GGGGGAUUAGCUCAGCUGGGAGAGCAUCGGCUUUGCAAGCCGAGGGUCAUCGGUUCGAUCCCGAUAUCCUCCA
rnacentral:tRNA from 1 species